rnacentral:rRNA from 1 species
UGUGGAAUUUUGGACAAUGGGCGCAACCUGAUCCAGCCAUGCCGCGUGAGUGAAGAAGGCCUUCGGGUUGUAAAGCUCUUUCAGACGGAAAGAAACGGUCNCGGCUAAUACCCGUGGCUAAUGACGGUACCGUAAGAAGAAGCACCGGCUAACUACGUGCCAGCAGCCGCGGUAAUACGUAGGGUGCGAGCGUUAAUCGGAAUUACUGGGCGUAAAGCGUGCGCAGGCGGUUUUGUAAGACAGAUGUGAAAUCCCCGGGCUUAACCUGGGAACUGCAUUUGUGACUGCCAGACUAGAGUGUAGCAGAGGGGGGUAGAAUUCCACGUGUAGCAGUGAAAUGCGUAGAUAUGUGGAGGAAUACCGAUGGCGAAGGCAACCCCCUGGGCUAACACUGACGCUCAUGCACGAAAGCGUGGGGAGCAAACAGGAUUAGAUACCCUGGUAGUCCACGCCCUAAACGAUGUCAACUAGGUGUUGGGGAAGGAGACUUCUUUAGUACCGCAGCUAACGCGAUAAGUUGACCGCCUGGGGAGUACGGUCGCAAGAUUA